GACGAACGCUGGCGGCGUGCUUAACACAUGCAAGUCGAACGGAGAAGCGCGUUCCUUUUUGGUGGGAGUGGAGGAGUGGCGAAGGGGUGAGUAACACGUGAGUAACCUGCUCCCAUCUUCUGGAUAACCGGAUGAAAGUGUGGCUAAUACGGGAUAUUCUGGGUCUGUCGCAUGAUGGGUCUGGGAAAGAUAUUGUUUCGGUGGUGGAUGGGCUCGCGGCCUAUCAGCUUGUUGGUGGGGUAAUGGCUUACCAAGGCGGUGACGGGUAGCCGGCCUGAGAGGGUGGGCGGUAACAGAGGGGCGGCGACACGGACCAGCCUCCGAGGGGAGGCAGCAGUGGAGAUUAUGGAAUGAGGGGAGCAAGGCUGGUGCAGCGACGCGGCGGGAGGGAUGGAGUCCGUCGGGUUGUGAUCCGCUUUCGCGAGUGAAGCAGGGCGGCCUCGUUUGUGGGUGGGUUGACGGUAGCUGAAGAGGAAGCGCCGGCUAACUACGUG
rnacentral:rRNA from 1 species